rnacentral:rRNA from 1 species
GAUGAACGCUGGCGGCGUGCCUAAUACAUGCAAGUCGAGCGAACGGACGAGAAGCUUGCUUCUCUGAUGUUAGCGGCGGACGGGUGUGUAACACGUGGAUAACCUACCUAUAAGACUGGUAUAACUUCGGGAAACCGGAGCUUAUACCGGAUAAUCUCUUGCACCGCAUGGUUCAAUAGUGAAAGACGGUCUUGCUGUCACUUAUAGAUGGAUCCGCGCUGCAUUAGCUAGUUGGUAAGUUAACGGCUUACCAAGGCAACGAUGCAUAGCCGACCGGAGAGACUGAUCGGCCACUCUGGAGCUGGGCCGCGGUCCAGACUCCUACGGGAGGCAGCAGUAGGGAAUCGUCCGCAGUGGGCGAAAGCCUGACGGAGCGGCGCCGCGUGAGUGAUGACGGUCUUCGGAGCGUGAAACUCUGUUAUUAGGGAAGAACAGAUGUGUAAGUAGCUGUGCACAGCUUGACGGUACCUAAUCAGAAAGCCACGGCUAACUACGUG